rnacentral:rRNA from 1 species
UACGAAGGGGGCUAGCGUUGUUCGGAAUUACUGGGCGUAAAGCGCACGUAGGCGGAUACUUAAGUCAGGGGUGAAAUCCCGGGGCUCAACCCCGGAACUGCCUUUGAUACUGGGUAUCUUGAGUAUGGAAGAGGUAAGUGGAAUUGCGAGUGUAGAGGUGAAAUUCGUAGAUAUUCGCAGGAACACCAGUGGCGAAGGCGGCUUACUGGUCCAUAACUGACGCUGAGGUGCGAAAGCGUGGGGAGCAAACAGG